GGCUCCCGGAGUAGUUAGUGCCAGUGAAGUGCGGGCGGCGAUGAGAGCGAAAGUUGCGCUCGGCUCGGCGCUGGGGGCUUGAAGCCGCACCGCGCUCCGCCCGCCGGGCCACCCCCGGCUCCGACUCGCGCCCGCGGGUUCCCGCCGCGCCCGCCCGGCCCCGCGCCUGCCCGCGCUCCUCCCCCCCACCCCCCCCCCCCCGCCCGGCGCCCCCUCCUCAGGAGCCGCGGGGCCCCGCCACUUUCGCCCGGCCCCGGCCCCCGCCGAUGCCGGCCAUGGUGGAGAAGGGCCCCGAGGUCUCAGGGAAGCGGAGAGGGAGGAACAACGCGGCCAGCUCGGCCGCCUCGGCCGCCGCCGCCUCCGCCGCCGCCGCCGCCUCGGCCGCCGCCGCCGCCUCGGCCACCGCCUCCGCCUCGGCCGCCGCCGCCGCCGCCUCCGCCUCGGCCGCCGCCUCGGCCGCCGCCGCCCCCAAUAAUGGGCAGAAUAAAAGUUUGGCGGCGGCGGCGCCCAAUGGUAACAGCAGCAGCAACUCCUGGGAGGAAGGCAGCUCGGGCUCGUCCAGCGACGAGGAGCACGGUGGCGGCGGCAUGCGGGUCGGACCCCAGUACCAGGCGGUGGUGCCCGACUUCGACCCCGCCAAACUAGCGAGACGCAGUCAAGAACGAGACAACCUUGGCAUGCUGGUCUGGUCACCUAAUCAGAAUCUAUCGGAAGCAAAACUAGAUGAAUACAUUGCCAUUGCUAAAGAGAAGCAUGGGUACAACAUGGAACAGGCUCUUGGGAUGCUCUUUUGGCAUAAGCAUAAUAUUGAAAAGUCAUUGGCUGAUUUGCCCAACUUUACCCCCUUCCCAGAUGAGUGGACUGUGGAAGAUAAAGUCUUGUUUGAGCAAGCCUUUAGUUUUCAUGGGAAAACUUUUCAUAGAAUCCAACAAAUGCUUCCUGAUAAAUCUAUAGCAAGUCUGGUGAAAUUUUACUACUCCUGGAAGAAGACAAGGACUAAAACCAGUGUGAUGGACCGCCACGCUCGGAAACAGAAGCGGGAGCGGGAGGAGAGUGAGGAUGAACUGGAAGAAACAAAUGGAAAUAACCCCAUUGACAUUGAGAUUGAUCAAAACAAGGAAAGCAAAAAGGAGGUGCCCCCUACGGAGACAGUUCCUCAGAUCAAAAAGGAGAAACAUAGUACGCAAGCUAAAAAUCGAGCAAAAAGGAAACCUCCGAAAGGAAUGUUUCUUUCUCAAGAAGACGUGGAGGCUGUUUCUGCCAACGCCACUGCGGCCACCACGGUGCUAAGGCAGCUAGACAUGGAGUUGGUCUCCAUCAAGCGGCAGAUUCAGAAUAUUAAACAGACGAACAGUGCCCUUAAAGAAAAACUUGACGGUGGAAUAGAACCGUAUCGGCUUCCAGAGGUCGCUCAGAAGUGUAACGCACGCUGGACCACGGAGGAGCAGCUGCUCGCAGUACAAGCCAUCAGGAAAUACGGCCGAGAUUUUCAGGCGAUCUCAGAUGUGAUUGGGAACAAAUCAGUGGUACAAGUGAAAAACUUUUUUGUAAACUAUCGACGCCGCUUCAACAUAGACGAAGUUUUACAAGAAUGGGAGGCAGAACAUGGGAAGGAAGAGACCAAUGGGCCCAGUAGCCAGAAACCUAUCAAGUCCCCAGAUAACUCUAUCAAGAUGCCUGAAGAGGAAGACGAGGUAAAUCUGAAACGGUAGGAUCUCUGCCAGGUUCAUGCUCCAUAUUCAGUUUCUUCUUUGAUGGCCUUUCUCAGCUGGAGAAAUAUUUUUAGCUCUCAGCUCUGUCAGUGACUUGACUUUUCCCUAUAAAAACCUUAAUAUGUGUGUUGACACCAGUUAGUUUUGGUCACUAGGUAUAUCGCUCACAUUUUAAUUCCCGUACAGAUUCCUAGUUCCAUCCUGGUUUUCUCCAGCCACAAAAUAUUGCACGUUACCAAAGUUUCCUUAGGUCCUGUAAGAACUCAGCCAUAAAACGGUAAGUUGGAAGUGCCGUGAGCAGUGUCGGUGAAGCUCGGUAUCGAAAACGUGUUGUCAUCUCAGUAGGAGGUUAAUGACCUUACUAGUGAAUCGGCUUGGCUAGCCAGCCAGGACCUCCUGCGUCCGUCUCUGCUGUCCCAAGUCGUCCAGGCUUUGAUGCUGUCGGGGCUAACAGGUUGAAGUAUUGAUGGAGACAGUUCUGGGUCCUGUGUUUGGCCGGAGCUUCCAGGCUGGUGGCCGACAUUCUGGCAAUCUCCAGGUUAGCUAUACCGAUUUCAUCGCCUACUCAGCAGAGAUUAGGCACGAGGUUACCGAGGCUGCACAGACCCAUCUGCUACCUCCCUGCUUCCUGUGACGGGGUCACCUGCCACUUCCCCGUCCAGCCUGGCCUGCCCUGCCCUGCCACUCCCACAGAGAGGAGGAGGGGGCCGGGCAGAGGUAAGAGUUAAUUGCCAAUCACUUUGGUGUGAGUUUGUUCACGGACACGGAAUUUUAAGGAUUAGUUGAGCUUUCCGGGAAAAUCUUCUCAUCAGAGGCUCCCCCAAACCGUGCGGGAGUGAUUUGAAAUUACCUAGUUAGUACUGUCUGUUCUCCCCCUUUGCUCCAAGGGUCUGGCUGUAGAAGCAGCCCAGAGACCCCCUCUUGAGCCGAGCACAGAGUGCCUCACGAGGGAGACCCCCCGCCCAACGUGACGCACCCAGCGGGUUGGGCUCUUUAGAGCUUUGUGCCAGAAAAUCUUUGGACUGUCGAUAACAUUUAUAGCAAAAUUCGUAUUAUUAACAAUGUGAGUGGUUCCCCCGAGCCUGAGACCCCGGAACAUAACGGCUUACAAGCAGAAGUUUUUAUCUCUCAGCAGUGAUGUUUGUCCCGGUGCUUGUUGUCCCUUUAGCAACAGAUUAACCUCUCUGAAGUCCUGGACUCAAUUUAGGAAGCAUUGAGAAGAUGAGAAUUAUGAAGGAAGGAACAUUAGAAUUUGCCGGAAUGAAAGCUUUCUUCCACGUAUGUUCUCGAGCUUUAGAGCCAGGAAGCAGAAAUCAUAGGAAACUCUCCAGAUUUUAUCAAAGCAGGUGUUGGCAGGGGCUGCUUCUGUGCUAGACGUCAGAUAUGCAUCUGCUUCCUGAGAAACUCCGCCAGCUUUGAGCACUUGGUAUGGACGCCUGUGUUAUCCAGGAUAUCAGGUAUCACACGCCAUCACCUAGCCACCUGCGUCACAUCCCUGUGGACAAGCAGCUGUUACCAAAAAAGGCGCGCACUUCCGGUCCUGUGCUGCAUCUGCCUUAAUCCUGUGCUCGUUCCUCCACGCUGGCGCCGCUCCCCAGAGAGGCCCGCCGCAUCUCACGCUCUGCCCCGGCGCUGGCGGAGCCUCGUGGCCCGCACGCCUCCCGUGACCCCGGGGACCCCUCCCCAGUCGGAGUUCCUGAGCCCCACCCGUGGCAGCUCUGCCCAGUCAGCAGCUUCAAACAGGUAGUCGACUUGGAAGGCACGACUCUGCUCCCGCAUGGCCUGCGGUUCCACCUCGUGCAUCGUGAAAUUUUCAGAGUGACUGUGACCUGUCGGCCUUUUGGAAAGUUUCUCUUGUUCUUCUCUGAGGCGUCCACCUAAGCGAUACCAUGCUUCUCUGGAAAUCGCAGGGUGCUGGCAGACUGCGUUAUAACCUUCGUCGUGCCAAACGUCCCGAGACAGCUCCCGUCUCCCCAGACAUCGGGCGUAAUUAGGGUUUGUAAAUUUAGCUGGCUCAAAUCUCGCCCUUCCCCCUUCCCAGCUGGUAGAGAGCUCAUUCACAGCAACUGUCCUUGGACAUCAGCUUAGAGGGAAUGUGGACUCGACACUUUCUGCCUUCAGCUUUCAGCACUGGAAUCCCGGGACAGGUGCCGCUCUGUCUUUCCCGGCCCCCCACCCCCACCCCCCCCCCCACCCCCCACCCCCCCCCCCCCCCCCCCCCCGCCAUCCGGCUCCAAGAGACGCGGUCCACACCACUGCACCUGGUGCUCGUGCAUUUGGAAUUGGUGCCUUCUCCUUUUGGCAAACCACGUUAUCGGCCCGUUUUCUGUUUUAGUGUCUUACUUCUUCUUUAAAGUUUAUUGCUUGCCAAAGAGAACAUCACUGAGAUUAGGAGACGGGGGAGAAAUUGCUGCAGAUUCUGACAGAGUGCAGAUUUUAAAUGUCAGGUUAGCUCCAUAAAGGGGAUUAGAAUGGCGGGUGAUGGCUUUAUAGAGCCACACGCUGUGCGUUCCCCAUCCUGCUGGUACGCCGUGUCACCCCGUACAGCCUUUUGUCCUUCGUGUGCUGAUGUGAUCGUCUAAACUCCAUCCUCCCUCUUUUAUUAUCAUAGUACAGGACAGAGAAGUGACCCGUUGGUUGGCUCUAGUAAGACCAAGACGGAAAGAAGCAGUGUGCAGAAGUGGUCUGUAAUGCCUUUUGGUUGGACUGGGAACAAGUAAAUAUUUCUCAUAAAUGUUCUGAGAUUUCCAGAAUCACUUGAUCUCGUACUGGACUGUGGACCUGCUGCAGGGCUGAGGGACAGACCUCACACUGCCCUCUCGCGUCCCCUGUGUCCCGCCCGCGGUCCGUGCAGCCCGCACUAAAUAUGUUGAAGGAGCUUUUCUGUCGCCGUAGUUUUGCGUCAUUGAAACACUUUUCCUGCUUUCAAUACCAAAAAGAAAAAAAAAAAUGCAGAUGCUUUAAGGCACAAACAGAAUUCGUAAGAAUUUAAAAUAUGCAAUUAAAAUUUGAUGUGUUUUGACUCCCAAGCACCUUGCUUUUUCCCUUUUUUUUUUUUUUUUUUUUAAGGUCAGCUGACUGUCUCUUUAGGAAGAGGGUCAGCUAGAAACCUAGACUUUGGAAUUGUACAUUUUUAGAAAUCCGGAGAAAGGUCAUUCUCAAGGGGAGUGAAGUGGGACUCUCCUGACUUCGUCAUCUUGUCCCUUCCCGGGGUGUCCGUGGGUCAGGUAAGAGCGUGUGAACGGCAUGAGAGGAGGCUGGCGCGGGCAGCGCAGUGACACUUAGGAACGACGCGGGGUGUGAGCCUGCUCUGGCUUUGGGAGAUGGCAGGGCGAACAUGGAGAGGAGGCGGCCUGCAGUUUGCACAUCGCUUCGAGGGGACACUGGGCGAGAAGCGAGGCCGAGGGUUCUCUGUGCUGCUUCUCGGGGCCUCCUUCCUCAUAACAGGGCAGCGGCAGGGGUCUCAUUCUGCCCGUAGGUCGGAGGCCUGUCCCUCUCUGCACGCCCGGGCCGUUUGCCUGGAGAGCUGGUCCCUUCUGGCAGUGCUCGCUGGCUCGAUGGCGCUUCCUCGGAAGCGUGGCGGGCCCCCGUGUGUCUUGCCCCGUGCCCUUACGUGCCGCCGGGCACCGAGCCGUCCCCCGUCCCGAAGGGUCGCUGCUCCGGCUUGGCGGACCACAGCGGCCUGGUUCUGGUCCCUCCACGGAGCAGAGGCAUAGCAUUGCCAUUCGCCUGAGGUUGGGAAGAUUAGAAAGGUGGUUGUCUUUGCCUGGCCCCCUUGUAGUUUCAUGCCUAAGGUAGCGUUGUGCUUCAGACGUUCCAUUACACUUGUCUUUGCGACGAUGUUGUAAAUGCAAGAAAUUACUUCGCUUUAAAAGCCGAGUGAUUGAUCUUAUUUAUGUGAAGCCCCCUUUUUAACAUAUCAAGACUUCGGUGCAUAGCAGGUCGUGUUUGGAUGUGUAAGGGUCCACAGUGACAGCUGCUUCGGAUGCAAUGUUCACUUAAGCUUUGUCUUCUUAAAAACGAUCAAUGUGAAUGUCAUAAUUAUAUAUAUAUUUUUGUGGGAAAUUUCUCCUAAGUAUAAGUUAUUGUGCAAAAUAUAGUACCACUGAAGCAAAUGAUAGUUUAACUUUUAGUUUAGAAAUCCUAAAAGAUAUAAAUUGUAUUGCAUAUGCAUUAAAAGUUUGUUUUAUUUAAUUUUAUGUAGGUGUGUAAGGCGUUAGGAAAAAAUUGUUUUCACUUAUCCAUUUAAACACCUUGUUACUUGAAUAUUGUGCUGACUGGUCCGAAACAGUGACCGGUCCUGUAACGUAGCUCUGUUGCCCAGCAAGUACAGGCCUCCGUCGUGCUGACCACAUACCCACUGUGUGGCCUCAGCACAUCUGUGCCCACCAGGACACCACUUCCUCAGAAGGGUCUUUGGUAGUUUGUAACCUGUGAGACCCUUCGAUAGUCGCACACCUCUCCGAUGAAAACGCGCAACUGAAAACGUUGCCGCGUUUUACGGGCUAAUUACGGAGUCGUCUCCCGUGUGUAAAAGUUCCCUCAGACCUCACACGCCGCUCUGAGUGUGCUCAUCGUCACUUUAAAUUUCAACUACGCCCUAUUUUUGUCUUUCUAAAUAUCAGAUGUACUAUUGGUAUCCUUGCGUACCAAAACUAAGCCACACAGUGCAUUACACUAACUGGAUCCCUGCUUCGCGGAGCAAAGGAAAGACGGAGCCCACUCCCGACGAGAGCCUCGCUUCCUCUCUCGUCCAGCCUGUGUCCGAGCCUAGUGACCCAGGAGUCCAGCUUUCAGUACCCAGUGAAACUUUGCUUCGAGUGGACUCAAGGUAGUUAGCUGAUCUGAACCUAGUGAUCCCGUGCAAUGCUCAGAAACAAAUCCUCUCUCCGCCACUCCCCGGGUCCCCGCAGCUCUUCCCUCACGAUAGUAAAGCACAAUUGCAGCAAUGUUACAAUUCAGAAGGAAGGUCAGUGUAGUCUAUGCAUGUUGUGUGAUGAUGAGUGUUUACAGUCACCUCCGAAAACUAAAGUUUAUACUGGAGUGGAUAGUAUUCCAUUAUGUAGACCUAUCAACUUUGCUAAGUGCUUUUUAGAUUGCUUAAAAAUUUUUCAAGAUUUUAAAAGAUGUAUAAGGUUAAGUUUGCAAAUAUAAUGGAAAUGCUGUAUAUCUUUUGAAGUGAUAAAAUCCACGUUGGAAUUUUAAAGAAAAUAUGUUGUAAUAAUGCUGUUGUAAGUAAUAUUUUAAUGUCUCUUUCUGCCUGUUUUCUAUAUCAGCACAUUCAUUGUGGUGAAUGUUCAUAGCAUUAUAAUUGCUUAGCCAUUGAAUGAUAACGUUUGUUAGUGGAGAUUGAAAAAUUUAUUUGUGAAAUUCUGCAGAAUUCAUUUUUCUAUUUCUAAUAUUUGCUGAGGUUAAAUAAAAAUUUUCAAGCCAUUGAUGUAAUAAAAUAUGAAAGAAAA